rnacentral:lncRNA from 1 species
CAAUAUUGGUGCUGUACACUAAUAAAAUCAUUUAUCAAAUACCAGGGGGUGGCACUCAUUACUCCUAUUUACUACCUACAUUCUUCUUGUAAAAAAGGUAGAACAUUUUUAACUUUUUAAAUGGUUUUAAUAUUAAAAGGAGAGGUUGCAUUUUGUAUCAAAUGUAGUAGUACAACUUAGAGUAAUACACAGUGCGUUUACUUGGCCCCUCCACAUCAAGAAAUUCUUAAAAUGUUCUGUUUCACCCAUGAAUAAGGAUUUCUAUAUAUUCUUUUCAAAGAAGCAUUUUUUGCUCUUAAUCAAAUUAAUUUCAAGGUACAAGUAAGAGGAAAUCACACCUGUGCACUGCCUUGACACUCAGUAAGAUUUUGCCUCAUACCCUGUAAUGUUACGAUUCACUUUUUGGAAAAAUGGAAGUUAACAUGAAAGAUUCCUCUACUCCAAAACGUAAUUACUUUAUUCCUUAAAAAUACACAAGUACAGCAAUUGUCUACAGAAAUCAAUGUGAUACUGGGGUCUAGAAAUGAUCAAUUACACGCAAAAUUUAGUCAAGCAGAAACAAAAAGAAAACAGUAGGAUAUCAGCGCACAAACUUAAUUGCUUAGAUUUCUUAAAUUUCCGAAGUGAAAGGUAAUACAUUAAGGAACCUAAUUAGAUAUUGAUUUAAAUAAAUUUAGCCUCCUGGUGACUAAACAGUGUUUACUAAGGGUUCUGAAGUAAAUUAAAAGGAAGAAGGAAAAAAACAAUUUUGUACCCUGGUCAUAAGCAGGCCAAACCUAAAUGGAAGUCAACAGGGGCCCAGGAUUCAGAGUGAGAUGGUAAACGUCCAGGCUGAAGGGCAAUUAUGAAUUACAUGCUUUCAUAGUAUAAAAGCACAAGACUUACAAAACCAUAAUAAUCCCCUGAGAUCCUGAAAACAAAUGCAAAAAGCACUGAAAACAAUGCCAUGGAGCUAGGAAUUGCAAUUUCCUGGAAAUGAGUAAUGCUCCUACGGUUCUGUUUGCUACAGAAAUGUGCACUGGCAGGUUGGUCCUCUUUCUCCACAAGUCCCUACCCAGAGACACUACAGGGUUUGUAAGAAUUUGUUCCCUUUUGGUGUACGUCAGCAACCAUGCAGGAGGCAGGCCAAGGAAUGAAAUCAUUGCUCUCUGCAUCAGUGAGAUCCCAUUUACAAUACUGAGUCCAGCUCUGGCACAUGGAAGGAUAAGAGGGGUUUUGUGCUCACACCUCACCAAGCCCCUUCCUACUCUAAAAUUUCUCAGGAAGGAUUCUGUCCAUCCAGAUGGAAAACUGUCAUGACAAAAGCUUACCAAGCAACUCAGUGAAAAGCAGGACUGAACCACUCAUAAUUCUUUAAAGGAGUAUAAGAAAAUAUUAGAGAGAAAAAAAAAAAAAAACUUGGAAUCCUUUUUACCUCUGUCUCUCAUUUCUCUGUCUUCAGUGUCUAGCACUCUCUUUGUCAGUUUUGUUACAUAUUUUAGGCUUUAUCUCUAAUGUAUGGUUAGACUGUGCCCUAUACUUUGGCUGCUUCUUUGAUGGUAGGAUGGUUCAACAUUCUAACAAGAUUCCCGUAAAAAAACCAACCAUUAUACUUUAUUUGUUGCGGAAUCACUUUACAGAGGUAUUCAGUUGUGAAUGGGGAAGUUAUUGUAAAUCACUAUCACCAAACCGGCAUGAAUUGCUACCAACAAAUUGAAGUGACAGUUGCUAAACAGACAGCUAUUGUUUGUGCCAAUCAUUUCUUGGUGCACAGGUUUUGUCUGCUGCAGCCUUAACAGCACUGAAGCAGUAGUUUCCUCAGCGAAGAGGUGCUUCAAACCUCCUUUUUAGUUAAAAUUUAUUUUAUUUGCUACCUGAAAUACAGCAGCUAAAAAGUACUAGCUAAAAGAAGAAAGUUCGUAUACAGUAGGUGGACAAUAGCGUAAUUGAGAAGAAGCUGUUUAUGCAAUCAUUUGCAUUGCUCUGUACAGCACUUGAUACCAACCUCUGGUUUGAAUAUACUAUCUAGAAAGUCAACUAAGUACUUGCAGAUAUUUCAUAUUUCUUCCCCUCUUCUCAGUGUGUCACAGUACUUCGGGCUCUUCUCUGUUUCACCUCACUUCUGUGUCACCAUCUCAGACACCUCAGUCUCUGAGAAGUGAUUUCAGAUGGAAUUGCAAAGAGAAUGUUACCCACAUUUGUAGGCAGAAAGCACAAUGUACUGUCACAUUAAUCAUAAGAUCAGAGAAGGUAAUAGAAGCUUUGAAUUGACUUUCAGCAGUUGCUACUGUUGAUCUUCUCUGUAGAUGUGCUGU